UCAUGCUAUUUUGGAGCUUUGAAUUCUAAGUAAAAGCCCAAGAAUUAAGUCAGUAUCGAGUUCGGGGAUCAACGGAUAAUAGUGGAACGCAAUGAAGAAUCGAGCAGGUUUCCAGCCUUCACGGGAUUGCUGGCACCAUGGGAAGUUAGAGGAGUAAUGUACUACUGCAGCUUUCAAGUUUCAAGCAUUUCUUGGCAUUACUAUAGAAGGAGAUCUCAAGUUAAUUGGCCGAUUGAAACAAGAAGAAACUUCCAAUCGGAAGAAACAUUAUAAUAGCGGGAGUAGACUAUUUUUUCAAAUGGACCUUUUUUUUUUUUUUUU